rnacentral:rRNA from 1 species
UACGGGGGGGGCAAGCGUUGUUCGGAAUUACUGGGCGUAAAGGGCUCGUAGGCGGCCCACUAAGUCCGACGUGAAAUCCCCAGGCUUAACUUGGGAACUGCGUCGGAUACUGGUGGGCUUGAAUCCGGGAGAGGGAUGCGGAAUUCCAGGUGUAGCGGUGAAAUGCGUAGAUAUGUGGAGGAACACCAGUGGCGAAGGCGACUCUCUGGGCCUUACCUGACGCUGAGGAGCGAAAGCGUGGGGAGCGAACAGG